rfam:Ruminococcus sp. CAG:563 genomic scaffold, scf6
AGUUGUCUUCGGGGCGGGGCGAAAUUCCCCACCGACGGUAAUGGGAUUCAAUCCACAAGCCCGUGAGCGAAAGUUGAUUCGGUGAGAUUCCGAAGCCGACGGUACAGUCCGGAUGAGAGAAGAUUUGU